rnacentral:lncRNA from 1 species
AGAAAGGAAAAGCAGACAACAUUAUGAAAAACAUUACCAAAUUCAUCCUAAGGGAUGACUAAUAAAAAUAGGAAUAGAAACAUGAUUAUUCUUCACCAAUGACUUCGGGCUUGGUGUCAUCAGUACGGUUUUCCUUUGUCAAAUCAUCAACGGGAGAAGGCUCGGUUUCUUCCAUGUCCAUGAGGCAACAAUCCACCAUAACUUUACAAAAGUCU